AAAGCGAGAGGCCUCGGAGCAGCCGGCAGGGAAGUUGGCCGUGUACGCUCCGGCGGUCGGGACACACAGGUUGCCGAUAAUUUAACGGGGAGCAAAAAGCGCCCGCGGUGUACUUCUUCCCGCAGCCCAACUCGCGGGCUGCCGAUACCUCUCCUAUAGGUGAUACUCCGACCACCCCACCGCGCAGCACCGCCGCUAAAGGCCCCUACUUCGGAUCAACUCAUUAUCCCGAAUAAACGAUGUGUCAUUCCCAUUAUUUAUGUUUCACUGCAGCCAAAGUAUCUGGACCUCGUUUUGGUAAGCACCAUUCAUUUCGACCCAUUCAGUAUUAAUCUCCCUGCUAACAUCUUUCCUGUCCUAUGUGCUGUCCCCUAUUUGCUUUUAUGUUUUCCGCAGAGUGUUUAUAAAAGGAUAAUCUUUUACAAAGCAGACAGAAUUUUUGUGUAUAAACUGCGCUGUUUGAAUGCCUCAUUGAUAUACCAUCUAAACUGAAGUGUUCAGCAAGAUUAGUGCAUCCACUGAGCCACUGAACUGGGCAAAAAUAUGGGAACUGCUCCUUUCUUUAUAGCAAAAAAGGGUAGCUAAUGAUGCCAUCUUCUUUUAAAUAGUCCAUCUUUUAGCAGAUGGACUCUGAGCAUAUGAAUACAUUCAACAAAUAAAAAAUAAUCAGCGGAGGAUGUGGCUUAUUGUGACAAAUAAAGGGAGAAAAGGGCACAAAAUGUAUAGAUUAGGUAAAGCCGGCUUCCAUCCUAGCAAAACUGGUGUAAAUGCAGAAUAAUUCAAUCCAGAUGACACACGUUAGUGGGUUUUUACAUCACUGUUGCUCACAUCAGGAUCUUGUCCCUUUGUAUCCUAAUUGAUGACAACUUCAGCUAGGACAGGGACGUGCAAUGCCUUGAAAUGCAAAUGGUACAUUUUUCUCUUUCUCACAUCGAUAUAAAUUUCCAGUGAGAAUAUUUUGAGCACAGUCCUCUCCUCUUUAC
ensembl:lncRNA